rnacentral:rRNA from 1 species
GAUGAACGCUGGCGGCGUGCCUAAUACAUGCAAGUCGAGCGAACGGACGAGAAGCUUGCUUCUCUGAUGUUAGCGGCGGACGGGUGAGUAACACGUGGAUAACCUACCUAUAAGACUGGGAUAACUUCGGGAAACCGUAGCUAAUACCGGAUAAUAUUUUGAACCGCAUGGUUCAAAAGUGAAAGACGGUCUUGCUGUCACUUAUAGAUGGAUCCGCGCUGCAUUAGCUAGUUGGUAAGGUAACGGCUUACCAAGGCAACGAUGCGUAGCCGACCUGAGAGGGUGAUCGGCCACACUGGAACUGAGACACGGUCCAGACUCCUACGGGAGGCAGCAGUAGGGAAUCUUCCGCAAUGGGCGAAAGCCUGACGGAGCAACGCCGCGUGAGUGAUGAAGGUCUUCGGAUCGUAAAACUCUGUUAUUAGGGAAGAACAUAUGUGUAAGUAACUGUGCACAUCUUGACGGUACCUAAUCAGAAAGCAACGGCUAACUACGUG